GAUGAACGCUAGCUACAGGCUUAACACAUGCAAGUCGAGGGGUAACGAGAGGAAAGCUUGCUUUCCUUGUCGACGACCGGCGCACGGGAGAGUAACGCGUAUCCAACCUGCCCCCAACUAGGGAAUAGCCCUGCGAAAGUAGGAUUAAUACCGGAUGGUCUCUUUCUGGUGCAUGCCAUUAAGAGUAAAGUAUUAUGGUAAUCGAUGGGGAUGCGUUCCAUUAGAUAGUCGGCGGGGUAACGGCCCACCGAGUCGACGAUGGAUAGGGGUUCUGAGAGGAAGGUCCCCCACAUUGGAACUGAGACACGGUCCAAACUCCUACGGGAGGCAGCAGUGAGGAAUAUUGGUCAAUGGGCGUAAGCCUGAACCAGCCAAGUAGCGUGAAGGAUGACGGCCCUAUGGGUUGUAAACUUCUUUUAUACGGGGGUAAAGUGAGCUAUGUAUAGCUUAUUGCAAGUACCGUAAGAAAAAGGAUCGGCUAAUUCCGUGCCAGCCGCCGCGGUAA
rnacentral:rRNA from 1 species